UACGAGUGCUCCAAGCGUUAUCCGGAAUCAUUGGGCGUAAAGGGUGUGUAGGCGGCUCGGUAAGUCUGCUGUGAAAGUCCAGGGCUCAACCCUGGAAUGCCGGUGGAUACUGUCGAGCUCGAGUCCGGAAGAGGCGAGUGGAAUUCCUGGUGUAGCGGUGAAAUGCGCAGAUAUCAGGAGGAACACCAAUGGCGAAGGCAGCUCGCUGGGACGGUACUGACGCUGAGACGCGAAAGCGUGGGGAGCAAACAGG
rnacentral:rRNA from 1 species